rnacentral:lncRNA from 1 species
AGUUGCAUAGUUAGCUACGAUGAUGGUCGAAGGAAUUGAGUCUCCCAAUCGGGGAGCAAUGACGAUUCGAAUCGCUUAGCAAUCCAGCUGGAGUUCCUAACCACCCGACAUAUGUAUAACCAAAUCGUGCAUAUGUCAAUCCAAAUCAAGCUCUCCCCAAAUUUGACCAGGUUCGCGGCACCUGAGAGCAUAGUACUCCACCAUCCUACAGCCGAUCUAGAUGUUUCCCGGCCAUCUCAGAUCCGUAAGGUGGGUACACACUACUCUCGCCAUCCCUCCACGCCCAGUGCGCGAGUAGCUGUUCGUGUCGAGGGUCACAAGACCAGGCUUACCGAGGGCAAGUGGCUAGUACUAUAAAUUCUCAACCCAGCAGGCCAUCAACGGAACGGUCCUUAAUCGACACAGUUGGAGACACUACUUUAAGACUCCAUUCCUAAAGCAAGUCCACCGACAGGUCUCAAGUUGAACAUCAUUGAUCAUAAGAGUAUUCCACAACAACCCUUCAAACUUUCUCGUUUGAAAACCUAUCUAGUAGCAAGGCUAAGCAUCACUACGCAGUUUUUAAAGUAAAACAGGUGCCAAGGACAAGAUAACAAAUAUCAAGGUAGUAAAUGCAGCAAGUAGGUUAACCCAAUUCUCAACUACCUAAUGCAGCAUUUUCCAUUCAUAAGUGAUAAAAGAUUUAAAACAUUCAAGGAGGGGUUAAUGCAUCCGGGGCUUGCCUUGGUUGCAGGGCAGAGAUGGACCCUCGGAGACUUCCCAAGUCUCGGAUCCUACUUCCUCGAAUGGAGCACCGACCUCGGGGUUCGGUUCAACGGUCGCUCCUUCGGUCACGGACACUAUACGCAAAAUGAUGAAUGCUCAUGAUAUGCGUAUGACAAAUAUGCAAGAAGGACCA